CGUCUCAUUCCAGAUAUCCUUGGGAUGCAUGAGCGGCAUAAGUAUCUCCUCACACCCUAUCUUCUCAAGCUCCUCCCGAAUUAUUUGCUCGAUCUUCAUCUGUGUACGCUUACCUAAGUGAAGAAGGGUGUAGGAGCCAGCCAUCAGCUUAUCUAUGUAUCCCGCUCUUAUAAGGAGAAGAGCAUUGACAGCCUCCUCAUCACGCGGCGCAUCUUUCAGUGUCUUACCUAGAAUCUGUGAAUAACGCAUAUGAAAAUUAUACAGCAAUAGUGGGAAAAUAUGAAAUUACCUACGC
rnacentral:misc_RNA from 1 species